rnacentral:rRNA from 1 species
CCUACGGGAGGCAGCAGUGGGGAAUAUUGCUCAAUGGGCGAAAGCCUGACGCAGCGACGCCGCGUGAGGGAUGAAGGUCUUCGGAUCGUAAACCUCUGUCAGCAGGGAAGAACAGUCACUGUGCUAAUCAGCAGUGAAUUGACGGUACCUGCAAAGGAAGCACCGGCUAACUCCGUGCCAGCAGCCGCGGUAAUACGGAGGGGGCGAGCGUUAAUCGGAAUUACUGGGCGUAAAGGGCUCGUAGGCGGUAUGUCAAGUCAAGGGUGAAAUCCCCGCGCUCAACGUGGGAACUGCCUUUGAAACUGGCGAGCUGGAGUGUGUGAGAGGAUGGUGGAAUUCCAGGUGUAGGAGUGAAAUGCGUAGAUAUCAGGAGGAACAUCAGUGGCGAAGGCGACUAUCUGGCACAUAACUGACGCUGAGGAGCGAAAGCGUGGGUAGCAAACAGGAUUAGAUACCCGAGUAGUC